rnacentral:tRNA from 1 species
GCGUCGGUGGCGGAUUUGGAAAUCGCGCCAGCCUGCAAAGCUGGAACAUGUCGGUUCGAUCCCGACUCGGCGCUCCA